rnacentral:rRNA from 1 species
AUACGGAGGGUGCAAGCGUUGUUCGGAAUCACUGGGCGUAAAGGGCGCGCAGGCGGUUUUACAAGUCAGAUGUGAAAGCCCACGGCUUAACCGUGGAAGUGCAUUUGAAACUGUAAGACUUGAGUAUCAGAGGGGAAGGUGGAAUUCCCGGUGUAGAGGUGAAAUUCGUAGAUAUCGGGAGGAAUACCGGUGGCGAAGGCGACUUUCUGGCUGAAUACUGACGCUGAGGCGCGAAAGCGUGGGGAGCAAACAGGAUUAGAAACCCUAGUAGUCC